AAAUUACUGAAAUAUAAUUCAUGGACCGGGUAUCUCAAUGCAGCAUUUUCCAAGUGGAUAUAUUAGUCAAACUUAAUGUUUCAUUCAUGGGGAACUGCUGCUAGCAGUACAAACUAAGAAGAAAUUUUAAAGUAGUUUAUAUUUUUAAAAUAUCGAAGAGGUACACAAUAUCUUGGAGAGAUGAUGGAAACAUUCUUUAUUCACAAGUGCCCAAAGCAGAAAAAACUACCACAAGGGAGAUCUUCAGAUGUUAUUUUUCCUGACCUUCUAACAUUUCGGGCUCAAGAUGUUACUUCAAAUCAAGAAAGUCCAUUUAGCAACCAGCUAUUACUUUCCUAGUAUAAUGAGUUUUCUUACAAAUAGAAUGAAACAUCACUUAUUCUGAGAGAAAAUCCAAGGAGAUUAGGAGAUGUCAGUGACUAAUUGUUUACUUGCCAUUUGAACAACUUUUUGUGUGACUGAGGAUUAUGACCAAGAUGUGCUUUGGUUUUCUUUGAAGACUCUUGCUAAAAACUUGGAUAUGACAAAUAAAAUACUGGCAUUUCAAGA